rnacentral:rRNA from 1 species
AGUCGAACGAUGAAGCCACGUUGCUGGUGGAUUAGUGGCGAACGGGUGAGUAACACGUGAGUAACCUGCCCUUGACUCUGGGAUAAGCCUGGGAAACUGGGUCUAAUACCGGAUAUGACUCCUCAUCGCAUGGUGGGGGGUGGAAAGCUUUUUGUGGUUUUGGAUGGACUCGCGGCCUAUCAGCUUGUUGGUGAGGUAAUGGCUCACCAAGGCGACGACGGGUAGCCGGCCUGAGAGGGUGACCGGCCACACUGGGACUGAGACACGGCCCAGACUCCUACGGGAGGCAGCAGUGGGGAAUAUUGCACAAUGGGCGAAAGCCUGAUGCAGCGACGCCGCGUGAGGGAUGACGGCCUUCGGGUUGUAAACCUCCC